GUAGUUAGCCGGUGCUUAUUCUUUAGGUACCGUCAGCGCUUACCACUAUUCGCAAUAAACCUUUCUUCCCUAACAAAAGAGCUUUACAACCCGAAAGCCUUCUUCCCUCACGCGGCGUUGCUGGGUCAGGCUUGCGCCCAUUGCCCAAUAUUCCCCACUGCUGCCUCCCGCAGGAGUCUGGACCGUAUCUCAGUUCCAGUGUGGCCGAUCAGCCUCUCAGCUCGGCUACCCAUCGUCGACUUGGUGGGCGUUACCCCGCCAACUAUCUAAUGGGACGCGAACCCCUCUUAUACCGGAUUGCUCCUUUGACCUCAUCCCGAUGUCAGGUCGUGGUCUUAUGCGGUAUUAGCAACCGUUUCCGGUUGUUAUCCCCCUGUACUAAGGCAGGUUGUUCACGCGUUACUCACCCGUUCGCCACUAAGUUAUCAACCGAAAUCAAUAACUCCGUUCGACUUGCAUGUGUUAGGCACGCCGCCAGCGUUCGUCCUGAACCAAGAUCAAAUUCUGA
rnacentral:rRNA from 1 species